CCAAUAGCGUAUAUUAAAGUUGUUGCAGUUAAAAAGCUCGUAGUUGAAUUUCGGGGUUUAUCCGUUGGUCGGGCUUUUGGGUCUGUACUGGCGUGAUGGAUUCCUACCUUCUGAAUAACCAGCAUGUCAUUAAUUUGGUGCGUUGGGGAAGCAGGACUGUUACCUUGAAAAAAUUAGAGUGCUUAAAGCAGGCUAUUGCCUGAAUACAUUAGCAUGGAAUAAUGAAAUAGGACGCAUGGUUCUAUUUUGUUGGUUUCUAGGAUCACCGUAAUGAUUAAUAGGGAUAGUUGGGUGCAUUAGUAUUCAAUUGUAAGAGGUGAAAUUCUUGGAUUUAUUGAAGACUAACUUCUGCGAAAGCAUUUGCCAAGGAUGUUUUCAUUAAUCAAGAACGAAAGUUAGGGGAUCGAAGACGAUCAGAUACCGUCGUAGUCUUAACCAGAAACUAUGCCGACUAGGGAUCGGACGAUGUUAAUUUUUUAAUGACUCGUUCGGCGCCUUACG
rnacentral:rRNA from 1 species